GGAUGUGAACAAACAGGCUGAGACUCAUGUCAUCCUAUUGGCCAUCACAGCUGAUUCCACUGAGCUGGUUUAUUAGAUGGGUAUCCUCUUCCUUCUUAGCUGUUCCAUACAAUCCCUUUCCAAGCUGUAUACUUGGUGGAAGGGGAUGAUCUUUAUGUAUAAGGGAAGAAUGUUCUUCAGUCAUGUAUAUAGAGUACCUAUAAUUCCCUACUAGAACCACCAAACAGCAUGUCAGUAACAAAUAGACCAUAAGGGCCAGUGAGAUGGCUCAGCAGGUAAAGGCAAUAGCCACCAAAGUUUAGGACUUGAGUU
rnacentral:snRNA from 1 species